UUUUCUUCUCCUGUAUGUCAAACCUCACCUAGGUAUCGCCCCCACAUGCCUUGGAUAUCUCAAACUGGGUCAUAUCCUACAUUUGAUGUCUCCCUACCCAUUCUGUUUCUGUCUCUUGUCACCAGCACCCAAGUGAGAAAUCUUCGUCUUCCCUCAUAUAAGCAUCUAAACUGUCUUUUAUUCUUUGUACCAUUACUGACUCAGUCCAUUGUGCCAGGCACUGAACUAGGGGCUAAAGAUACAGAGGCAAACACAUCAAAUCCCAGCCUUCCUGGUGCUUACAUUCUGCUAUGUGAAAAGAGCAACAGACACUGCAUGAAGAAAAUUUAUUAAAGAGGCUAAAAGGCAAAGAAUUAAGGGCUAGAGAAGUAGCUCAGAGGUAAAAUGCUUGCCUAGCCUGUGGGAAGUCCUAGAUUCAAUUCCUAGUAAUGAAAAAUAAAAAGUUGCUAUAGGCUGCAGUUAGUAAAUGCACUACUUUGUGUUGAUCAAGCUCUAUGUAGUAACUGUAAUCUUCCCCACCCCCCGCCUCCUGGUACUAGAGAUGGAAGCCAAAGGCAGUUUACCACAGAGCUACAUCCCCAACCCUUUUUAAGUUUUGAGGCAGGGUAUUGCUAAAUUUCCCAGGUUGGCCUCCUACUUGCCAUCUUCCUGCCUCAGCCUCCUGAGUCGCUGAGAUUGCAGGCGUGUGCCACUAACUAUGUAAUGUUAAACAGUGUAACUACCAAAUCUAUGCUUUGUCUUUUAAUUCAUAAAAUACAGUUUUCAAACCAACUUAAUGGAGAUAUAAU
rnacentral:lncRNA from 1 species